rnacentral:rRNA from 1 species
AGCGGCGGACGGGUGAGUAACACGUGGGCAACCUGCCCUGAAGCGGGGGAUAACAUCUGGAAACAGGUGCUAAUACCGCAUAAUAACGAAAACCACAUGGUUUUCGUUUCAAAGAUGGUUUCGGCUAUCACUUCAGGAUGGGCCCGCGGUGCAUUAGCUAGUUGGUAAGGUAACGGCUUACCAAGGCGAUGAUGCAUAGCCGAGUUGAGAGACUGAUCGGCCACAAUGGAACUGAGACACGGUCCAUACUCCUACGGGAGGCAGCAGUAGGGAAUCUUCCACAAUGGGCGCAAGCCUGAUGGAGCAACACCGCGUGAGUGAAGAAGGGUUUCGGCUCGUAAAGCUCUGUUGUUGGAGAAGAACGUGUGUGAGAGUAACUGUUCACGCAGUGACGGUAUCCAACCAGAAAGUCACGGCUAACUACGUGCCAGCAGCCGCGGUAAUACGUAGGUGGCAAGCGUUAUCCGGAUUUAUUGGGCGUAAAGCGAGCGCAGGCGGUUGCUUAGGUCUGAUGUGAAAGCCUUCGGCUUAACCGAAGAAGUGCAUCGGAAACCGGGCGACUUGAGUGCAGAAGAGGACAGUGGAACUCCAUGUGUAGCGGUGGAACGCGUAGAUAUAUGGAAGAACACCAGUGGCGAAGGCGGCUGUCUGGUCUGCAACUGACGCUGAGGCUCGAAAGCAUGGGUAGCGAACAGGAUUAGAUACCCUGGUAGUCCAUGCCGUAUACGAUGAGUGCUAGGUGU